UACAGAGGGGGCAAGCGUUGUUCGGAAUUACUGGGCGUAAAGGGCGCGUAGGCGGCCUGCUAAGUCGAACGUGAAAUCCCCGGGCUCAACCCGGGAACUGCGUCCGAUACUGCCCGACUAGAGGUAGGUAGGGGAGAUCGGAAUUCCUGGUGUAGCGGUGAAAUGCGCAGAUAUCAGGAGGAACAUCGGUGGCGAAGGCGGAUCUCUGGGCCUUACCUGACGCUCAGGUGCGAAAGCUAGGGGAGCGAACAGG
rnacentral:rRNA from 1 species